rnacentral:rRNA from 1 species
UGCAGUCGAGCGGAGAGAGGUAGCUUGCUACUGAUCUUAGCGGCGGACGGGUGAGUAAUGCUUAGGAAUCUGCCUAUUAGUGGGGGACAACAUUUCGAAAGGAAUGCUAAUACCGCAUACGUCCUACGGGAGAAAGCAGGGGAUCUUCGGACCUUGCGCUAAUAGAUGAGCCUAAGUCGGAUUAGCUAGUUGGUGGGGUAAAGGCCUACCAAGGCGACGAUCUGUAGCGGGUCUGAGAGGAUGAUCCGCCACACUGGGACUGAGACACGGCCCAGACUCCUACGGGAGGCAGCAGUGGGGAAUAUUGGACAAUGGGCGGAAGCCUGAUCCAGCCAUGCCGCGUGUGUGAAGAAGGCCUUAUGGUUGUAAAGCACUUUAAGCGAGGAGGAGGCUACUUUAGUUAAUACCUAGAGAUAGUGGACGUUACUCGCAGAAUAAGCACCGGCUAACUCUGUGCCAGCAGCCGCGGUAAUACAGAGGGUGCAAGCGUUAAUCGGAUUUACUGGGCGUAAAGCGCGCGUAGGCGGCUAAUUAAGUCAAAUGUGAAAUCCCCGAGCUUAACUUGGGAAUGCAUUCGAUACUGGUUAGCUAGAGUGUGGGAGAGGAUGGUAGAAUUCCAGGUGUAGCGGUGAAAUGCGUAGAGAUCUGGAGGAAUACCGAUGGCGAAGGCAGCCAUCUGGCCUAACACUGACGCUGAGGUGCGAAAGCAUGGCGAGCAAACAGGAUUAGAUACCCUGGUAGUCCAUGCCGUAAACGAUGUCUACUAGCCGUUGGGGCCUUUGAGGCUUUAGUGGCGCAGCUAACGCGAUAAGUAGACCGCCUGGGGAGUACGGUCGCAAGACUAAAACUCAAAUGAAUUGACGGGGGCCCGCACAAGCGGUGGAGCAUGUGGUUUAAUUCGAUGCAACGCGAAGAACCUUACCUGGCCUUGACAUAGUAAGAACUUUCCAGAGAUGGAUUGGUGCCUUCGGGAACUUACAUACAGGU